UUUUGAAGAUGACGAUGUAGCUAGUAGUGAAAGAACCUAGUGGGGAAACCCCCACUCAAUUCUCGAUUCAGCGCGCACCCAAGAAUCACGAACAGACAA
rnacentral:pre_miRNA from 7 species